rnacentral:rRNA from 1 species
GAGAAUAAUGCCCGAUAGAACACUAUACCUGGAAUGGUUUGUGUUCCAAAUGAUUUAUCGCCAUAGGAUGGGACUGCGGCCUAUCAGUUUGUUGGUGAGGUAAUGGCCCACCAAGACUAUUACAGGUACGGGCUCUGAGAGGAGUAGCCCGGAGAUGGGUACUGAGACACGGACCCAGGCCCUAUGGGGCGCAGCAGGCGAGAAAACUUUGCAAUGUGCGAAAGCACGACAAGGUUAAUCCGAGUGAUUUGUGCUAAACGAAUCUUUUGUUAGUCCUAGAAACACUAACGAAUAAGGGGUGGGCAAGUUCUGGUGUCAGCCGCCGCGGUAAAACCAGCACCUCAAGUGGUCAGGAUGAUUAUUGGGCCUAAAGCAUCCGUAGCCGGCUCUGUAAGUUUUCGGUUAAAUCUGUACGCUUAACGUACAGGCUGCCGGGAAUACUGCAAAGCUAGGGAGUGGGAGAGGUAGACGGUACUCGGUAGGAAGUGGUAAAAUGCUUUGAUCUAUCGAUGACCACCUGUGGCGAAGGCGGUCUACCAGAACACGUCCGACGGUGAGGGAUGAAAGCUGGGGGAGCAAACCGGAUUAGAUACCCGGGUAGUCCCAGCUGUAAACAAUGCAAACUCAGCGAUGCAUUGGCUUAUGGCCAAUGCAGUGCUGCAGGGAAGCCGUUAAGUUUGCCGCCUGGGAAGUACGUACGCAAGUAUGAAACUUA